rnacentral:rRNA from 1 species
GGGGGGACGGAGAAGGCUAUGUUGGCCGGGCGACGGUUGUCCCGGUUUAAGCGUGUAGGCUGGUUUUCCAGGCAAAUCCGGAAAACCAAGGCUGAGGCGUGAUGACGAGGCACUACGGUGCUGAAGCGACAAAUGCCCUGCUUCCAGGAAAAGCCUCUAAGCAUCAGGUAACAUCAAAUCGUACCCCAAACCGACACAGGUGGUCAGGUAGAGAAUACCAAGGCGCUUGAGAGAACUCGGGUGAAGGAACUAGGCAAAAUGGUGCCGUAACUUCGGGAGAAGGCACGCUGAUAUGUAGGUGAAGCGACUUGCUCGUGGAGCUGAAAUCAGUCGAAGAUACCAGCUGGCUGCAACUGUUUAUUAAAAACACAGCACUGUGCAAACACGAAAGUGGACGUAUACGGUGUGACGCCUGCCCGGUGCCGGAAGGUUAAUUGAUGGGGUUAGCGGCAACGCGAAGCUCUUGAUCGAAGCCCCGGUAAACGGCGGCCGUAACUAUAACGGUCCUAAGGUAGCGAAAUUCCUUGUCGGGUAAGUUCCGACCUGCACGAAUGGCGUAAUGAUGGCCAGGCUGUCUCCACCCGAGACUCAGUGAAAUUGAACUCGCUGUGAAGAUGCAGUGUACCCGCGGCAAGACGGAAAGACCCCGUGAACCUUUACUAUAGCUUGACACUGAACAUUGAGCCUUGAUGUGUAGGAUAGGUGGGAGGCUUUGAAGUGUGGACGCCAGUCUGCAUGGAGCCGACCUUGAAAUACCACCCUUUAAUGUUUGAUGUUCUAACGUUGGCCCGUAAUCCGGGUUGCGGACAGUGUCUGGUGGGUAGUUUGACUGGGGCGGUCUCCUCCUAAAGAGUAACGGAGGAGCACGAAGGUUGGCUAAUCCUGGUCGGACAUCAGGAGGUUAGUGCAAUGGCAUAAGCCAGCUUGACUGCGAGCGUGACGGCGCGAGCAGGUGCGAAAGCAGGUCAUAGUGAUCCGGUGGUUCUGAAUGGAAGGGCCAUCGCUCAACGGAUAAAAGGUACUCCGGGGAUAACAGGCUGAUACCGCCCAAGAGUUCAUAUCGACGGCGGUGUUUGGCACCUCGAUGUCGGCUCAUCACAUCCUGGGGCUGAAGUAGGUCCCAAGGGUAUGGCUGUUCGCCAUUUAAAGUGGUACGCGAGCUGGGUUUAGAACGUCGUGAGACAGUUCGGUCCCUAUCUGCCGUGGGCGCUGGAGAACUGAGGGGGGCUGCUCCUAGUACGAGAGGACCGGAGUGGACGCAUCACUGGUGUUCGGGUUGUCAUGCCAAUGGCACUGCCCGGUAGCUAAAUGCGGAAGAGAUAAGUGCUGAAAGCAUCUAAGCACGAAACUUGCCCCGAGAUGAGUUCUCCCUGAGACUUAGAGUCUCCUGAAGGAACGUUGAAGACGACGACGUUGAUAGGCCGGGUGUGUAAGCGCAGCGAUGCGUUGAGCUAACCGGUACUAAUGAACCGUGAGGCUUAACCUU